CUACACAUGCAGUCGUACGCUUCUUUUUCCACCGGAGCUUGCUCCACCGGAAAAAGAAGAGUGGCGAACGGGUGAGUAACACGUGGGUAACCUGCCCAUCAGAAGGGGAUAACACUUGGAAACAGGUGCUAAUACCGUAUAACAAUCGAAACCGCAUGGUUUUGAUUUGAAAGGCGCUUUCGGGUGUCGCUGAUGGAUGGACCCGCGGUGCAUUAGCUAGUUGGUGAGGUAACGGCUCACCAAGGCCACGAUGCAUAGCCGACCUGAGAGGGUGAUCGGCCACAUUGGGACUGAGACACGGCCCAAACUCCUACGGGAGGCAGCAGUAGGGAAUCUUCGGCAAUGGACGAAAGUCUGACCGAGCAACGCCGCGUGAGUGAAGAAGGUUUUCGGAUCGUAAAACUCUGUUGUUAGAGAAGAACAAGGAUGAGAGUAACUGUUCAUCCCUUGACGGUAUCUAACCAGAAAGCCACGGCUAACUACGUGCCAGCAGCCGCGGUAAUACGUAGGUGGCAAGCGUUGUCCGGAUUUAUUGGGCGUAAAGCGAGCGCAGGCGGUUUCUUAAGUCUGAUGUGAAAGCCCCCGGCUCAACCGGGGAGGGUCAUUGGAAACUGGGAGACUUGAGUGCAGAAGAGGAGAGUGGAAUUCCAUGUGUAGCGGUGAAAUGCGUAGAUAUAUGGAGGAACACCAGUGGCGAAGGCGGCUCUCUGGUCUGUAACUGACGCUGAGGCUCGAAAGCGUGGGGAGCAAACAGGAUUAGAUACCCUGGUAGUCCACGCCGUAAACGAUGAGUGCUAAGUGUUGGAGGGUUUCCGCCCUUCAGUGCUGCAGCUAACGCAUUAAGCACUCCGCCUGGGGAGUACGACCGCAAGGUUGAAACUCAAAGGAAUUGACGGGGGCCCGCACAAGCGGUGGAGCAUGUGGUUUAAUUCGAAGCAACGCGAAGAA
rnacentral:rRNA from 1 species